UACGAACUGUGCGAACGUUAUUCGGAAUCACUGGGCUUACAGGGUGCGUAGGCGGCUUGUUAAGUAGGGUGUGAAAGCCCCCGGCUCAACCGGGGGAAUUGCGCCCUAAACUGGCGAGCUGGAGUGAGAUAGGGGGUGUGUGGAACUUCCGGUGGAGCGGUGAAAUGUGUUGAUAUCGGAAGGAACGCCGGUGGCGAAAGCGACACACUGGAUCUUGUCUGACGCUGAGGCACGAAAGCCAGGGGAGCGAACGGG
rnacentral:rRNA from 1 species